GUGUCGGAUUCUGAGCGCUGAGCUGGGGACUGAGCACCACCUCAAUGGCUAGCAGCCUUGUGAGAGUGCCAGCAGAUCCUGGGGGCAGCCCAGACAAUGCUUAUCCGGACCGGACUCCAGCCCACUUCUGCCACCUGAAGGGUUCCGGUUCGUGGGCACCGGGAGGCACCAGAGUCUAAGGGCAUCCGGGAAGGGACUGUUCGGCCGGUCCCCGGGCAGCCGCCGGGCGAGAGGAGGAGGCUGCGCCAAACAGACAGCAGUUCAUCUCCUAGACCUCAUCAGACUCUGACCCAGUUCUUGAAUGACUUUGGAGACCCAGAUGUUUCAGAAUGCACAUUCUGGAAGCCAAUGGCUACUCCCACCACUGACAAUGUUGCUGCUGUUUGCUUUUGCAGACAGGCAGACGGCAAAUCUUCCGAAGGCUGUGGUGAAACGUGAUCCCCCAUGGAUCCAGGUGCUCAAGGAAGACACUGUGACGCUGACGUGCGAAGGGACCCACAAUCCUGGAAACUCUUCUACCCAGUGGUUCCACAACCAGAGCUCCACCUGGGGCCAGGUCCAAGCCAGCUACACGUUUAAGGCCACAGUCAAUGACAGUGGAGAAUACCGGUGCCGAAUGGCGCACACCAGCCUCAGCGACCCCGUACAUCUGGAAGUGAUUUCUGACUGGCUGCUGCUCCAGACCCCUCAACUGGUGUUUGAGGAAGGGGAAACCAUCACAUUAAGGUGCCAUAGCUGGAAGAACAAACAGCUGACUAAGGUCUUGUUGUUCCAGAAUGGAAAACCUGUGAGGUAUUAUUAUCAAAGCAGCAAUUUUUCAAUCCCCAAAGCCAACCACAGUCACAGUGGGAACUACUACUGCAAAGCAUAUCUAGGAAGGACAAUGCAUGUGUCCAAGCCUGUCACCAUCACUGUCCAAGGUUCAGCAACGGCAUCCACCAGCUCUCUAGUGUGGUUCCAUGCUACUUUCUGCCUAGUGAUGUGCCUCCUGUUUGCAGUGGACACCGGCCUGUAUUUCUGUGUACGGAGAAAUCUUCAAACCUCGGGGAGGACUGGAGGAAUUCCCUGUCAGUUGGAAAGUACAAGGCUCCACAGGACAAAUGACAUCCCAUCGUAUGGCUAAACAGCGGCAGCUUCUUUUCAGCCACACCGCCGCUUCAUCUACAGCCUUCCUUUGAAAGCAACUUACCACCAGGCUGGAUAUUUGGUCCUGCAAUCACAACUGCUAGGAGGCUGAGGCAGGAGGAUCACCAAAAAAUGUAAUAUAUAUAUUUUAAACAAGAGGUGGGGGAAGGCUGGGGGUUGGUGGCACAGUUUUUAUCCAGGACACAUGAUGCUCUGGGUUUGACCUCCUAUAAUAAAACAGAAAUCAAUCUGG